rnacentral:rRNA from 1 species
GACAGAGGGUGCAAACGUUGCUCGGAAUCACUGGGCGUAAAGGGCGUGUAGGCGGGACAGUAAGUCGGGCGUGAAAUCCCUGGGCUCAACCCAGGAACUGCACUCGAAACUACUAUUCUUGAGUGUCGGAGAGGAAAGCGGAAUUCCUGGUGUAGAGGUGAAAUUCGUAGAUAUCAGGAGGAACACCAGUGGCGAAGGCGG